AACGAACGCUGGCGGCAUGCCUAACACAUGCAAGUCGAACGAGACCUUCGGGUCUAGUGGCGCACGGGUGCGUAACGCGUGGGAACCUGCCCGUAGGUUCGGAAUAACUCCCCGAAAGGGGUGCUAAUACCGGUUAAUGUCUUCGGACCAAAGAUUUAUCGCCUUUGGAUGGGCCCGCGUUGGAUUAGCUAGUUGGUAGGGUAAAAGCCUACCAAGGCGACGAUCCAUAGCUGGUCUGAGAGGAUGAUCAUCCACACUGGGACUGAGACACGGCCCAGACUCCUACGGGAGGCAGCAGUAGGGAAUAUUGGACAAUGGGCGAAAGCCUGAUCCAGCCAGGCCGCGUGAGUGAUGAAGGCCUUAGGGUUGUAAAGUUCUUUUACCCGGGAUGAUAAUGACAGUACCGGGAGAAUAAGCUCCGGCUAACUCCGUG
rnacentral:rRNA from 1 species